rnacentral:rRNA from 1 species
UACGAAGGUGGCAAGCGUUGUUCGGAAUUACUGGGCGUAAAGGGCGCGUAGGCGGCCCUCUAAGUCGAACGUGAAAUCCCCGGGCUCAACCCGGGAACUGCGUCCGAUACUGGAGGGCUCGAAUCCGGGAGAGGGAUGUGGAAUUCCAGGUGUAGCGGUGAAAUGCGUAGAUAUCUGGAGGAACACCGGUGGCGAAGGCGGCAUCCUGGACCGGUAUUGACGCUGAGGCGCGAAAGCCAGGGGAGCAAACGGG